rnacentral:rRNA from 1 species
AUUGAACGCUGGCGGCAGGCCUAACACAUGCAAGUCGAGCGGAUGAAGGGAGCUUGCUCCUGGAUUCAGCGGCGGACGGGUGAGUAAUGCCUAGGAAUCUUCCUGGUAGUGGGGGAUAACGUCCGGAAACGGGCGCUAAUACCGCAUACGUCCUGAGGGAUAAAGUGGGGGAUCUUCGGACCUCACGCUAUCAGAUGAGCCUAGGUCGGAUUAGCUAGUUGGUGGGGUAAAGGCCUACCAAGGCGACGAUCCGUAACUGGUCUGAGAGGAUGAUCAGUCACACUGGAACUGAGACACGGUCCAGACUCCUACGGGAGGCAGAAGUGGGGAAUAUUGGAAAAUGGGCGAAAGCCUGAUCCAGCCAUGCCGCGUGUGUGAAGAAGGUCUUCGGAUUGUAAAGCACUUUAAGUUGGGAGGAAGGGCAGUAAGUUAAUACCUUGCUGUUUUGACGUUACCAACAGAAUAAGCACCGGCUAACUUCGUG